rnacentral:rRNA from 1 species
CACGCCCUAAACGAUGUCAACUAGACGUUGGGCUUAUUAAUAAGCUUAGUGUCGAAGCUAACGCGUUAAGUUGACCGCCUGGGGAGUACGGCCGCAAGGUUGAAACUCAAAGGAAUUGACGGGGGCCCGCACAAGCGGUGGAGCAUGUGGUUUAAUUCGAUGCAACGCGAAGAACCUUACCAGCCCUUGACAUCCUGGGAAUUUUGUAGAGAUACAUUAGUGCCUUCGGGAAUCCAGUGACAG